rnacentral:rRNA from 1 species
UGGGGAAUAUUGCACAAUGGGCGCAAGCCUGAUGCAGCGACGCCGCGUGCGGGAUGGAGGCCUCGGUUGUAACCGCUUUGUUCAAGGGCAAGGCAGGCUUUCGGG